CGAUGACGGUAGCCGCUGAGAGGGCGACCGCACACUGGACUGAGACACGGCCAAGACUCUACGGGAGGCAGCAGUGGGGAAUAUGCACAAUGGCGAAAGCCUGAUGCAGCGACGCCGCGUGGGGGAUGACGGCCUUCGGGUUGUAAACCUCUUUCAGUAGGGAAGAAGCGAAAGUGACGGUACCUGCAGAAGAAGCGCCGGCUAACUACGUGCCAGCAGCCGCGGUAAUACGUAGGGCGCAAGCGUUGUCCGGAAUUAUUGGGCGUAAAGAGCUCGUAGGUGGCUUGUCGCGUCUGCCGUGAAAACCCGAGGCUCAACCUCGGGCGUGCGGUGGGUACGGGCAGGCUAGAGUGUGGUAGGGGAGACUGGAACUCCUGGUGUAGCGGUGAAAUGCGCAGAUAUCAGGAAGAACACCGAUGGCGAAGGCAGGUCUCUGGGCCAUUACUGACACUGAGGAGCGAAAGCAUGGGUAGCGAACAGGAUUAGAUACCCUGGUAGUCCAUGCCGUAAACGUUGGGCACUAGAUGUGGGGGACAUUCCACGUUUUCCGCGUCGUAGCUAACGCAUUAAGUGCCCCGCCUGGGGAGUACGGCCGCAAGGCUAAAACUCAAAGGAAUUGACGGGGGCCCGCACAAGCGGCGGAGCAUGCUGAUUAAUUCGAUGCAACGCGAAGAACCUUACCAAGGCUUGACAUGCACCGGACGGCCGCAGAGAUGUGGCUUUCUUCGGACUGGUGCACAGGUGGUGCAUGGUUGUCGUCAGCUCGUGUCGUGAGAUGUUGGGUUAAGUCCCGCAACGAGCGCAACCCUUGUUCUAUGUUGCCAGCACGUCAUGGUGGGGACUCAUAGGAGACUGCCGGGGUCAACUCGGAGGAAGGUGGGGACGACGUCAAAUCAUCAUGCCCCUUAUGUCUUGGGCUUCAAGCAUGCUACAAUGGUCGGUACAAUGGGUUGCGAAACUGUGAGGUGGAGCGAAUCCCAAAAAGCCGGCCUCAGUUCGGAUUGGGGUCUGCAACUCGACCCCAUGAAGUCGGAGUCGCUAGUAAUCGCAGAUCAGCACGUGC
rnacentral:rRNA from 1 species